CGGGUGGCGGCGUGGCGCGCUACGUCUCCAGUUUGCAAUCGGCGAUCGGGCGUAGAUGUCGUGUGUCGUGUCCCGGACACGGGACGUUCGGUCGGAUCAUUUUCUUGCGACGCGUGCGAAAUAUGGAAGUAAUGGCUCUGUAGCGCCAUCGAGAUUAUGUUCUGCCUUGAAAGUCCGCCAAUCAGACGAUAUGGCGCGAUGGCAAUGAAACGAAUGUACGCUUCGCGAGACGUGAAUCGCGUUUAAACCAAAACCGUCGGACGACGAUAAGUCGGAUGUGCGAUCCGUUUCCGCAUGAGAUACAACAGUAUAUAAUAUCACGUGCAACGAUGUGCCAUUAUAUCGACAAAGAUACUUAACUGGAAAAGUUAAGCUUAGACUGUUGCACGUGGCGAAAAAGGGUAAAACGGGGUGUGGGCCUACUGCCAGCUGGCUUGGAGGACCGGUCGUUGGAUGACAAAAAUCAACUCGAUGGCCAAAAUAACGUCUAGUCUGUCGGCGGGUGAAAUUACGGGGAGGACGAGAUGUAACAUGAGAGCCAAACUUACUCUUCGCUCGAAUCUUCGGACAUAAAUACGACAAAUCGCGUUAGAAUGAGAACGAGGGAACUCAAGCGGAACAAUUCGUACCUGAACAAAAACAAAAAGCUCCGUCGUGCGUAAGUCGUAGAGUUGCCUCAUAUCUUAUUCUCGGUUGGACAGUCUUACAGAGUUCCGACGUGUUCUGCGUUUAAAAAUUUCCUGUUUUAAAAAUUAAAAAUUACAUUGCGGCGGUAUCGUGAUGUGUAAAACAUAAUGACAAACAUAAAUUUAAACGUUAAAAGUAGAUCUUGUUUAGUUGACCGUCCUCUGGUUAUGUUUUUAUGUACCUAUUUUAUUUUCCACUUUUGAAAAUGUGACAAUCUUAGUAAGACGCGAGGUGGUGCCACGAUAACCAGCAAAUAUUUGACGAUCUUAAUUUUCGAUCAUGCUCAAUAAUCAUUCGAUGAUGUCGGCUAUUGAGGAAUUAAUAGACGAUGUCGUGGCUAACGACACCAACGCGACAGAUUUUCCCGAUUACGAUAUCAACGAUUCCUUCAGCCACUUCGAAUGGACGGAACUGGCGCCUGUGCUAGUAGUCUACAGCUUGACUUUCAUCCUCGGACUAGUCGGAAAUGUCAUUAUCAUCACUUCUACCCUUUGUCCACGACUCAGACCGUUGCCCGCGACGCCGACCAAUGUUUUCCUGGGAGGUCUGGCCACGGCUGAUCUUUUAUUAAUAAUAUUCUGCAUACCCGUGAAGAUAGCGAAACUAUUUUCCUACACAUGGACCAUGGGCAUCUUCCUUUGUAAAGUUGUACAUUACAUGCAGAGCGUAUCGGCUAUCUGCUCGGUUGUCACUCUCACCGCGAUGUCGGUCGAAAGAUAUUAUGCGAUAGUGCAUCCAAUGAGAGCACAAUACACGUGCACCAUAAGUCAAGCUCGCAGGAUCGUGAUUAUAACUUGGAUUGCAUCGUUUCUACUGGGAAUUCCAAUGAUUUUUACACAGACGCACAAACAGGUCGGAGAGAAAUAUAUUGCCUAUUGGUGCGUUCGUGAUUCCGAAGCCGGACUUUUGUGGCGGUUCCACGAGAUCUACAUGCUGAUCGUGGUCCUGAUACUGCCGCUAAGCAUCAUGGCCUUUUGCUACGCAACCAUCUGCUGGGAGAUCUGGCGCGUCAUGAAGCGCCGAUAUCAUAUGACGUCGCGGCACGCAUUGAGUCCAAACAGCGUGGACACGGAAUCUAUACCAAUGACGCAACGACAGAGUGGAAACGAGCGUAAAUCGCGUCGGGACGAGAACGACGAUGAAUCACGGACAAUAAAGCAGGUGGUGAAGAUGUUAGUGGCUGUUGUGGUGUUGUUCGCUAUUUGCUGGGCCCCGAUGCUCAUCGACAACGUACUGACCGCUUACGGUUACUUGCCGCGUCUCAAAAACGGGACGCACAAGCAUCUCAACACCAUGUUCCAAUUGAUGGCCUACUUUAACAGUUGUAUAAACCCGAUAGUUUACGGGUUUAUGUCCAAGCACUUCAGAGAGAGCUUCCUGUCGGCUGCCUGCGGCGGAUGGAUUUGCUGCCCCAGAAGAGGCUACCGAUCAUCCGUAACGAGGCAUCCCAGUCUCAGCCAGACCAGAAGUACCAGCGUGAGGUGGAUUCGAAACUCCUUCCGCGGGUCGAAGUCCCGAAACUCGACCAAUCUGCAUCUUGUAGUCCAUCCGUGAGAUGUUGUUUUGCGACACCUUGGUCGGCGAACGAACCUGGUUGACUGGACACUGUUAGAAAGCCCGUGCAUGCGCCACAAAUGUCCGCUUGCCCACGAAUGUCAUAAACAAAGGGAACAUGAUUCAAUCGAGAUGGACCUGAUUCUUUCUUCAUUCCCAGACCAGAUCGUCGAGGGAGGUCCGUCAGAUAGGGGAAAAUUUCCGACAGUGAGACGUGAAUAAAGUCAAGAAAGAAACGCGAUUAUAAGUUUUACGAAGGUGGAACAAGACCUUUCGGCUGCCUACGACUAUUUCGAGAAGCGGAGUGACAGGAGCGACAAAACUUUCGUGAAUUGACAAUGACUCCAACGCGAGUGUGAAACUAUCUGCUAAGGCGGUCUCAUAGAUAAUGUAAGUUCCCGAACGGGCUCAUAGUCUAUUUAUCACCCUCGUGUCGCACCUCAUAGCGGUAGCAUUAUCGCUCACUCGUCUCGUAGGCGAGAUAAUUGGACAGUUGAUUAAUUGGAUAUUUGGACAAUUGGACGUUUAACGUACGGUUAAAGCUGCUGAGUGGGCGGAUAAGGGUCAGAAAGUGGGCUUUAGGCGUGGGCAACGGCGGCAUCCAAGGUGGCCGCGUAGUAGAGUAGCCGAGCUAUAAAUAGCGAAGUGGUCCGGAUUUAGAAAUCUUGCGAAGAUAUCUCGCGCAAAAAAGAAAAAGACACUGAUUAAAUUAUGCAGCAGGAUGCAAGAUCAUUAAAGAACAAAUUGGAUUUUUUUAAUUGUUGAUAUUCUUUAAUUCGUGUAGAAUCGUAUAAGAAUCCGAUAAAAAUAAGAUGUUCUCGCCGUUUAUUUAAUUUGCGUAUUUUAUCCGAAGAGAAAAUACAGCUGAUUCGAUAACUAUAUUUAUCAUUGUAGAAAGUGCAUCGUAAAGUGCGCCGACUACAAACGUCGUCGGCGUAGAGAAACCGUUUCGAGGAAUGUUUCGCAAAUACUCGAUACGCUCUAGGAACUAUAUUAGAUGCGGUGUAUUACAGACGCGACAAAUUUGCCAAAUGUUCGCCAUGCAUGUUCGACAACGGCCGAUAAACAUUUCUCACACGAGUUUCUGCAACGUGAGAGAUGGAGGCAAGUAUCGAUUUAACAUUUGCAUUUGUGUAUAUAUGUCAUGAUUUCUCAAAGCGUCAUAUUUCGAAGUCAGGGCAAUGACGUAAUUCAUCGUGGAUAUUCGUAGCAUAUUCUCGAAACAUUGAGCCAUACGCGUUUACAUGAGAAUAUAAUGUCAGAGAAUAUAAUUGUAGCUAGAUUAAUUAACUUGUUCCAGCGUGUCCAUGUCAAGAGGAUCAACAGUAAAUUUUAUAUGAGCAAUCUCGGUUUUUGUUACUCGAGAGAAUAUUGCAUUCUCUCUUAUUUUUGUGGCAUUCUUUUUGAAUUCUUAAUACUAAAUAUCGUAGAUUACUCUAUCUAUAAUAUUAAUAAUAAUAAUAAUAAUACAAGCUCUUACGUUAAAAGACUUUUAAUAUAUAACUCUUAGCGACCCAUCGUGUUAGGCACGCGGGUUUUCGAUAGCAAGUCGUAUUAUAAAAAAAAAAAUAAAUAAAUAAAAAAAUAAAAAAAAAAAAACUGGGGAAACCAAGUCGCUGAUCAAUGUAUAGAAAAUACAUAAAUAAAUAAGUAUUACAUUAUUCAAACAUUUUCUGUUUUUGACAAGUGUGAUAUUAUGAUGCGAUGUUUAUGAUUCUGGGUUUGCCGAGAUUAAUGGUAUUUAGAGCCACUCUGUGGCUCUAAAUGCCACAAGGAUAGCACGAAUAAAUUUUUAAUAGUUAUAAAUGAAAGAUAUUAAUGAAAUACACUAAACGCGCGCGAUUGACAUGCCGCAUCGUAGGCAAAAUUAAAAUCAACGUUUGCGUAAUGUGCAACAGCUUUCAUCUGCAUUGUAUCUGUAUUUGCGCGCAAGAAUAAGAUCAAAAAGUUUACAUUUACAAGCUUUAAGCUCUCAAGUCGUUGGCUUUAAUCUCAUAAUUGUAAGAUGUAUAGAAAUAUUAUUAAAGUGUACGCACCAGCAAGGCUUUCGAAUAAUUUUUUGAGUAGAUACAAAAGUAUAUACAUUCUUAGGCACUGAGAUCUUUCCGACAAUUUAAAGGAUUAAUUAUAUAAUUUCAUUUAUAAUUUUUAUUACAUUAUUAUCCCUUUUGAACACGUUGAACACGUGGGACAUAGAUUUUUAUGAAUCGCUUGACAGACUGAGAAUCAGCAAUGUAGAAAUAAUUUUAUUGUUGAAUUUAAAUUAUUCGUCGAAUAAUACACAAUGAUAUUAAUAUGACACACAAUUUCACUUUAACAUAUUAUUGUAUUUAUUGCAUUUGAUGUAUUAUAUAGACGGUAAUUAUCAGAGUCUACGACAAACCGUGAUGAGGUAUACGUAAUAAAACUAUUCUCGCAUCGAUUUUUAAUCGCCGAGAAUCAUAAUUAAUCAUAAUAUAUUUCUUGCAAAUUCUUCAAGUUAACUGUAAUACAAUCUUAUCUUUUUAAAUUCAAUCGCGUUAUGUAUAUACAUGUAUAUCUUAAAGACGUCUUAUUGUCUUUUAAACAGCUUUAAGUAAGAUGCCUUUUGGCUUUUCUGUGCUGUCUGGGGAAGAGAUAUUUGGGCGUGAACCUCGACAAUGAAAGGUCGAUCUUUAUACGUGUGUAUAGUAAUUAUAUGAAUUAAAUCUAUGCACCGUAAAGAAUUGUUUCUUUUCCAUAGGAACAUGCGUAUAUAUUUGUACGCGCGAGUUAAUUUAUCUUAAGUAAUAGCGUAUAUAUAAUAGCACGAGUGUAUAUAUUGUAUAAUAUACACAUAUAUACACACAUAAACUGUAUACUUCGUAUGUGAUUAGAUGUUAUACACAGCUUUAAAUGUCUAAAUAUAUGUACUAGUCAACUUUUCUCUUAUUGUUAGAACGAUAUCUAUCUAGAUUACGAUAUCCCCGAGCGAAUAUAAAAUAUAUAAAUAUGAACAAUA